rnacentral:misc_RNA from 1 species
AAGUCGUAACAAGGUUUCUGUAGGUGAACCUGCAGAAGGAUCAUUAAUGAGAAUAGGAGGCUGGAUUCCAUCCGCCUCCGACCUUCAGAUCCACACACACACACCUGUGAACACACACCAUACCCGCUUCGGCGUGGUAGUCAACUCUUAACGCGGUUAUCGAGUGUAAAUACAAAUCCUCCAAAGCGGGGUGAAAGUUAAAUACAACUUUCGGCAAUGGAUCUCUUGGUUCUC